UACGGGGGGGGCAAGCGUUGUUCGGAAUUACUGGGCGUAAAGGGUUCGUAGGUGGCCCGCUAAGUCAGACGUGAAAUCCCUCAGCUCAACUGGGGAACUGCGUCUGAGACUGGCGGGCUUGAGUGCAGGAGAGGAACGCGGAAUUCCAGGUGUAGCGGUGAAAUGCGUAGAUAUCUGGAGGAACACCGGUGGCGAAGGCGGCGUUCUGGACUGUUACUGACACUGAGGAACGAAAGCGUGGGUAGCAAACAGG
rnacentral:rRNA from 1 species